AACGGCUUAACGGCUUAACGGACGGGCAACGGAUUAAAAUUUUUUUAUUAACGGCUUAUCGGAUUGGGGGUGGAUUAUUCAAUUUUCUUAACGGGUAAUCCGUUAACCCGUUAAGAAUAUAUAUAUAUAAUUUAUUUUUAUUUAUAUAAUUAUAUAUAUUAAAUAUAAAAAUAUAUAUAACAGAAAACCUUAAAUCCAUAUUCAUGACAGCACAACCUAUGAUACAACUGCAAACAGAUGUGUCGACAAAGUUAAGGUGCCAUGUUUGGCACUAAUAAUUUACAAGAUGGAGACAACUUUUCUCACACAAUACCAGUGCCUCACUAUUAUUAUUGUUUUGUCCUUUGAGAGGAAUGUGCACCAAAUCAGGAGCCAUAUUACAUUUUAAGGUUUCCCCCAAACACAUUGGGGUACACCUUGAUAGUGAUGAUACUUUCAAACUGGGACAGGUUCGGGAACUCUGUCNNNN
rnacentral:lncRNA from 1 species